CAAAUCAAGUGCACAGUCACGCCUCGGUUUCGAGGUUUCCUUCUAGCUUACCAUCGACUCCUGAAACAUGCCCAAGCUACAUUUAAUAGACCUUUCAAUAUUACUAACAUUCUUUCCAACUACUAAACUCUUUAGUCUAAUCAAGUGGAAUGUCACAUAACUUCUAGUUUAGAAGAGUUAUCAAACAUGUAGGUUGAAUUAUAUAAAGUUUUAUAGCCAAAUUCUUGAAAAUAAGAUUGGAAAUCUUACCCUCACUCUCGGCCCCUUUUUAACAGAAUUUCUUACUAAGAUUACUCAAAUUCUCCAAAAACCAGUGAAUUGAUUCAUGCAUGCCCUGAUUAAAGCUUUAAAAGUUUAAUGAGUCAAAAUGUGCAAGUUUACAGCCAACAUAUUAGAGUCGAACCUAGAGUUGAGCUACCAAAUCACGGCCUAAGCAGCAAUUUUCAGUAAAAUAACAUCAUUUUUUUGGAAAUCAAGGCUAAAAUUUAACCAUGAUUCAAUGUUCGAAAAGUUUUAUCCAAAACGGUUACAUGCAUGCUAAUUUCUAAUUAAAAUCUUAACUUUCUUUCAUGAUGUAUAAAUCAUGCAAUAUAUCAUGAAGUGACUAUAAAGCAUGAAUCUCUUUGAAAAACUUUAGCAAAAUGGAAGCUAUAAGUUGGAAAACAUAGCUUCAUCCUUCGGUUCAAGCAAGAAAAUUUCCAACAAGUCUUUCUUCACUUUUUCUCACCAAAAUAGCAUCUCUCUUACUCACUUUCAACCGUAAAUCACACAAUAAUAGGCUUGUAACAUGAGAUAAGGUAUUAAUCAAGCAUUCCAGCAAAACUCAGAAAGGAAAUUUUGCAUCUAAGAGUUGAAAAUUCAAGCCUCUUCCACGGUUCAAAGCUGGAAAAAUUUCCAACAAGAGGAUAGUUUGAAGAAACAAAAUUUCUCCCCUAAAAUUCUUUAUUUUUCACUCAAAUCCAACGUGCAUGUUAAGAUUAAUGUGUUAUAAAGGAUAUUGAGCAACAAUGUGAGAUUUUUCAGUCAUAAAUCAAGGAGAAAAGCUAGUAAACUCUCUCUCUUUCACUUGGUCAGCUCAACAGAUUUUCCAACCAGGUUCUUUCAAAAUUUUUCAUCCAAGCUACUAAUUUUCUCACUCAUUUCCAUGGCAAAUAUAUCAUAUAUCAUUUUUAACAUAAGAUGAAGCAUAUGACAUGAGUUCUUAGUAAAGAAAUCUAUCAAAGUUUCAAAUACAAAGAUGCAAAUCAAAACUAUCCAUCACAUGCAUCUAAAUUGAAAUUCCAGCAACAUAUAGCUUAGAAAGUGAAUUUUUCUUUCACAAACCUCCUACAUUUUGGCUUAAAAUUAACAUACACCUAGAGUGCUCAAUAGUAAUAGAAAAAAUGAAUGGUUUAUAGCAAUUGUUACCUCCAUUUUCCUCGCAAAUCAAAGCUAGAAAAUGCAUUCACUCUUCUCCCUUAGCUCUCUCUCUCUCUCUCUGUCUGUCUUUGUUUUGGAGUAAAGAAGAAAAAUGAGGCUAAGACUCUCUCUCCUCUCGGUUCCAAAAUGCAAGCAGUUCAGUCUUCUCUCUCGGCUCUCUCUCUCUCUCUCUUUCUUGUGUGUUGAAGUGAAGAAGAAAAAUGACUUAGUCUCUCUUCUCCUCUCAGUUACAAGACAAGAAAAAGGGCAGGUUGGUUGCAUGGUAGUUUAGGCAUAUUCCCUUGGCUAUUUGGUUAUUUGACAAAAUUUUUGACACUUGGCAAGAAGUUGGACAUUUGUCAAUUGAAUAUAUUGUUUCAAAACUUUAUUCAACUAUGGCCAAACUAAUUUUAAUGGUCACACUAUUGCCCCAUUAAUUUGUUCUAAUUAGUAGAGUUCCUAUAAAGAUAAUCGUGCAAUAAUUUAAAGCAUUCUUAUGCACUUAAAUUAUAAAGAAACAGUUGAACACAUAGAUCAUUCAAUAAUAAGAUAAAUGAAAUGCAUUUGAUCUUUUGGAUAAAUGUAAAUAUAUGGAUAAAUUUUUAAGUUCUCACAGUGGGGGUAGGGACGGGGGGAAUUUUCCUCUCCCCAUUUUAAAUAGGGAGAGGGGAGGGGGAGGAUAUCCUUGCCCCGUCCCCCACGUCAUUUAAUUAAUAUAAAUAAAAUUAUAUAUAAUAUAAUAAUCAUAAAUUAGUUUAAGUAGAAUACAACUCUAUAAUUGGUUAUGUGUAAUUAUAAUUAAUUAUUUAUGUAUAUCAUUUUAAUUUGGAGCAAUAUUCAUCACCCUUGACGACUCAAAGUGCUUCAAGAGAAACCUAAUAUUUGCUUCUUGUCUCUUCUUCUCAGCUGCAAAGCUGCUCUAGUGCUCUUCGUCUUUUUUUUUUUCGCUUCCUUCAGUCGUUGCCUUUCUACCCCGCAGCCGCCACUACCUUUACUUUCCCCAAAACCAACUCCUCUCGCUCAUGCAUCAGGAAAAUAAAGAGGAAGAAGAGGGUUGGCUGACCCAUCAUCGUCGGCCCCAAAUUUCUUCAACAAAAAAGCAUUGCAGAAGUUUUCUUUAUCUUUUUUCUUUUAUUUAAGCAUUGACUCAAGUUUUUUUGCUUUUGAAUCUGUCUAUUUUUCAUACUUGGAUAAAUCUGCCUAUGAUAGUUGAUAAUGAAAUUAAACCUUCUAGAUGACAGCCUGCUAUUCUCCUUCUAUUCAGGACAUAGGAAUAGGAUAUGAAUGGAAAGAGAAGGCCUUGUUAUUAUCUGAUGUCUCUCCCUCUAUAAAAUUUUUUAUUUGACAGUUUUUUCCUUUUUUUUUUUUUGAAGAUGGAGGAAAGAGUGAGGGCUGAGAUAACGAGAAGGUGCUAAAAAGCAGCAGUAAGAGAAAGAAUGAAGGAUGGUAUUUUCCUAAUGUGUUGCCAUUGUUGAUACUACCAUGUUUUUAGGUUUUGCAUUGUGGGAUGUUUGUGUAUUUGAAAUAAUUCAAUCACCCGCGGGCAUCCGUGGUAGUAGCGGGGCGGGGCAAAAG
rnacentral:lncRNA from 1 species